rnacentral:rRNA from 1 species
AACGAACGCUGGCGGCAUGCCUAACACAUGCAAGUCGAACGAGACCUUCGGGUCUAGUGGCGCACGGGUGCGUAACGCGUGGGAACCUGCCCUUAGGUUCGGAAUAACUCCCCGAAAGGGGUGCUAAUACCGGAUAAUUUCUUCGGACCAAAGAUUUAUCGCCUUUGGAUGGGCCCGCGUUGUAUUAGCUAGUUGGUAGGGUAAAAGCCUACCAAGGCGACGAUCCAUAGCUGGUCUGAGAGGAUGAUCAGCCACACUGGGACUGAGACACGGCCCAGAAUCCUACGGGAGGCAGGAGUGGGGAAUAUUGGACAAUGGGCGAAAGCCUGAUGCAGCAAUGCCGGGUGAGUGAUGAAGGCGUUAGGGUUGUAAAGCUCUUUUACCCGGGAUGAUAAUGACAGUACCGGGAGAAUAAGCGCCGGCUAACUCCGUG